GCGGGAAUUCGAUUGGCGGACGGGUGAGUAAUAUAUAGGUAAUGUGCCUUGAAGAAGGGGAUAACAGUUGGAAACGACUGCUAAGACCCUAUAUGCCUUUAAAACAAAAGUUUGCAAGGGAAAUAUUUAUAGCUUCAAGAUCGGCCUGUACAGUAUCAGUUAGUUGGUGAGGUAAUGGCUCACCAAGACAAUGACGCUUAACUGGUUUGAGAGGAUGAUCAGUCACACUGGAACUGAGACACGGUCCAGACUCCUACGGGAGGCAGCAGUGGGGAAUAUUGCACAAUGGGGGAAACCCUGAUGCAGCAACGCCGCCCCGCAGGAUGACACAUUUCGGUGCGUAAACUCCUUUUAUAUAGGAAGAUAAUGACGGUACUAUAUGAAUAAGCGCCGGCUAACUCCGUGCCAGCAGCCGCGGUAAUACGGAGGGCGCAAGCGUUACUCGGAAUCACUGGGCGUAAAGAGCGUGUAGGCGGAUAGAUAAGUUGGGAGUGAAAUCCUAUGGCUCAACCAUAGAACUGCUUCCAAAACUGUCUAUCUAGAGUAUGGGAGAGGUAGAUGGAAUUUCUGGUGUAGGGGUAAAAUCCGUAGAGAUCAGAAGGAAUACCGAUUGCGAAGGCGAUCUACUGGAACAUUACUGACGCUGAGACGCGAAAGCGUGGGGAGCAAACAGGAUUAGAUACCCUGGUAGUCCACGCCCUAAACGAUGUACACUAGUUGUUGUGAGGCUAGACCUUGCAGUAAUGCAGUUAACACAUUAAGUGUA
rnacentral:rRNA from 1 species